rnacentral:rRNA from 1 species
GACGAACGCUGGCGGCGCGCUUAACACAUGCAAGUCGAGCGAGAACCGGGCCUUCGGGCCCGGGGAAAGCGGCGAACGGGUGAGUAACACGUGGGUAACCUGCCCUCGGCACCGGGAUAGCUCGGGGAAACCCGGAUUAAUACCGGACGGCCUCCGGAGCCUUCGGGCGCCGGAGAAAAGGUGGCUUCGGCUUCCGGCUGAGGAUGGGCCUGCGGCGGAUUAGCUUGUUGGCGGGGUAACGGCCCACCAAGGCGACGAUCCGUAGCUGGUCUGAGAGGACGAUCAGCCACACUGGGACUGAGACACGGCCCAGACUCCUACGGGAGGCAGCAGUGGGGAAUCUUGCACAAUGGGCGAAAGCCUGAUGCAGCGACGCCGCGUGCGGGAAGAAGGCCCUCGGGUUGUAAACCGCUUUCAGGAGGGACGAAGCCACUCGGGUUAAUAGCCCAGAGGGUGACGGUACCUCCAGAAGAAGCCCCGGCUAACUACGUGCCAGCCGCCGCAGUAAUAC